ACUGGAGGACCAAGAAGGCUAAGUCUGAUGAAGCAAGACUUUGCUGAUACACUCCUCCUAGACUAAGGGGUGGAGAGAGCUGCCCUAAUUGGAGAGAACCAUAGGGCUGACUGUACUACCCAACAUCU